rnacentral:rRNA from 1 species
UACGUGUGGGGCAAGCGUUGUUCGGAAUUACUGGGCUUAAAGGGUGCGUAGGCGGUUUGCUAAGUCAGAGGUGAAAUCCGGUGGCCCAACCAUCGAACUGCCUUUGAUACUGGUGAACUUGAGUGUGCUAGAGGUAAGCGGAACGUGUGGUGUAGCGGUGAAAUGCGUAGAUAUCACACGGAAGGCCAGAGGCGAAGGCGGCUUACUGGGGCACAACUGACGCUGAGGCACGAAAGCGUGGGGAGCAAACAGG